ensembl:lncRNA
GGGAACAGGCGCGCUACACAGCAAACCAGGAGCAAGAGGGGUGGGAAGGUGCCACACUUUCUUUCUUUUCUUUUUUUUGAGAUGGAGUCUCACCCUGUCACCCAGGCUGGAAUGCAGUGGUGCGAUCUUGGCUCACUGCAACCUCUGCCUCCCGGGUUCAAGUGAUUCUCCUGCCCCAGCCUCCCGAGUAGCUGGGAUUACAGGCAUGCGCCACUACACCUGGCUAAUUUUUGUAUUUUUAGUAGAGACAGGGUUUCACUAUGUUGCUCAGGCUGGUCUCGAACUCUUGACCUCAUGGUCCGCCUGCCUUGGGCUCCCAAAGUGCUGGGAUUAUAGGCAUGAGCCACCGCGCCCAGCUGUCAUUUUUUAUUUUGAGACAGGGUCUCACUCUAUUGCCCAGAUAGAGUGCAGGGGUGUAAUCAUGGCUUGCUGCAGGCUCUAUCGACUCUCCCACCUCAGCCUCCCAAAUAGGCUGGGAUUACAGGUGCAUCAAGCUACGCCCAACUAAUUUUUGUAUUUUUUGUAGAGAUGGGGUUUCACUGUGUUGCUCAGGCUGGUUUCAAACUUGUGGGCUCAAGCGAUCCUCCCAUCUCAGCCUCCCAAGGUGCUGGGAUCACAGGCGUGAGCCAUAGUGCCCAGCCUACACUUUUAAAUAACCAGAUCUCGUGAGGAUUCACUCACUAUCGCGAGGACAGCACGAAGCCACUCAUGAGGGAUCCACCCCCAUGACCCAAACACCUCCCACCAGGCCACACCUCCAACAUCAGGAAUUACUUUUCAACAUGAAAUUUGGGUGGGGAUAAAUAUCCAGCUACAUCCGCAUCUCACUCAGGGCUGACUCCGCAGAUCCCAGCACCCAGGUUUCCUUGCCCUCCAGCUUCUAGUUAGGUUCUGGAAGGAGAGACACUGACCAGAAAUCAGAGGGCAGGAGGAGAACAGAAACAGGGGUGUGUGUUCCACAGCCCAGCCUCCACCCCAAACAAGGGGCCCUGCUAGUCCUGGGAUCUCACCACCCCUUCUUGGACAGUUCCUUCACUGAACUCCAAUUUCCCUCAGUGCACAAGCCAUCAAGUUCCUGCUGUGGCUUUGGCCAAUACACCCAGUUGGCAGAGUAGGAAACGGUAUCUCAUCAAGUACGGGCAAUCUGGGGUUGUCUAUAACUCCAAAGCGUUCUGGAAACAAGCAGGAGGAAUCGUACCCCAAAAGCACCAAGAAUGUAUAGGAACAAUCAAAAAUAUCACAUGGCUCUCCAAAAACAAAACAAAACAAAACAAAAACAAAGGAAAGAAAAAGUUUGGCUCCAAUGCCUUGAAGCAGCCCAAUGGGCACUUCCCACCAGCCCAGACCCCUACAGCUGCCGUGGCCCCGCUGACACUUUGGAGUUCUUGGGAGGUUCUCUUAUGAGGGUCAUCUGAACAGAAGCUGAUCAUAAAAGAUGACCAAAAAGAAAUCUCUCUCCCUGCUGGAGAGGGUGGAUGGCACACUCUGCCAGAACCACCUGCUAUAAAUUAUUUUUUAAAAACCGUGGAUUCCAGAAAGAGGAAGCAGAUCCCCUCUGAGGCUUAUCUAGAAGGCCCUGAUGAAGCACACAUACUGUUCACGAGUGUCUAAGCCAGAUACCAUGUUCCCUAAGGCAGCUGCCUUCUCCAUGAAAUCAAUUUU